UUUAAACGCCAGUUUGUUGAUAACGUGGCCUGAUUUACUCAAAACCGGUUUCCACACCCGAGUUUUUUACGCUAGCAAAUGUCCGUCCUCAUUCGCCUUUUGUAGUAUUACACCAGAUGCUUCUUUUUCACAUUGUGGCGAAAUCAGACAACACUUGAACUAGAUACGGGUAUACGUUAUUGCGAAACAAAUCACACAGUGUAUGCUUUCAAAGAUUUUCGCACAGUGAUGGUGCCCCAUGGACUGAGGGAACCGACUGGAAACGCUUUGUUCUUCUGUAAUACAAUCUGAACCUGUGUGACGGCACUGAGACUUUACAAUAUGGACUUUACACUCGGGCUGCAUCCCCAGAGUAUGGAACGAGUCUACAUGACUGUAUUUAUAGUUAUUUUUGUUGGGUUGCCACAUGUACGAGGGUGUGGAUCACCAAGCAGACCAGUUGUUACCAUGUGCUAUAACAACACAGCAACUUUUGAUACAAUCGGAUUUGCUACAUCCGAGAAGAGAGUUCAGGGAUCGUCGACUUGUACGUGCAACCUGUCGACAGACGGCGCUGGUGUACUGAUCAGGGUAGAGAUGAUGCCGUCCACAGAUCCCAGUUGUGGUUUUAAUAAGAUUGUACUGAAAAGUCAAAGUCCUUUCGCUACUAGAAUGGACUGUCGACAAGUGCAGUCUUCACGCUUUAGUGUUUCUGAAACAGCAUCUCUGCAGCAAUCUCUUCAACAAAGAAGCGAUGCCCCUGUUUGCAUGAAAUACACAGUGAUUUCCGGUAAGUCAAAUAAAAAAUAUGGCUCCAAGCUCGUUAUGCAAAGACGUAGCGUACGUGCACUGAAGCGUAACAGCAAAGAGAAGAUGUGUUUCGACAUGGCUUCGAACUGAUUGGGACAGGCGAAAAAUCUAAAGUAAACAAACAUGAAAAAUUUUGUCAAGGAAAGUUUCUAUGUUUAACUGUAACAGCUUUCCGGUUAGCUCUAGACUGAUCUGGUCUGAGGUUUGGCAAAAGGUUUUCGGCCAAGGACAGCCCCAAACCAACAGGUACCUGCCCUUGUCAAAUAAGUUGAGGCUCGCAGUACAGCCUUUGUCUUUAACGAUCGCCAAGGAAUCUCUGGGCCAUACGGAAUAGGAAAUAACCGAUCGACCUCGUGCUUGCGAUAAAUCGACAAACGUAAGGUAAUAAAAAGGUGACAAUGAGCUGUAGUGGCGAAAACUUACCACAGACUCCAUCUACGGUGGCGGGGAGAAUUACGUCGACAACGACAAAGGUGACGACCUCGUCGACAAAAACGGGGACGUCACAUCCUGUUGUGACGUCGCAACCGACUAAAAGUGUCACUAGAACUACUUCUUUCUCAACUGAGCGCACGACACUCUCGACAAAACCCACCCGCAACAGCGCAGAGUACAUCCGCGUCAAUAAAUAGUACGCUAGGCCAAAGUGUCGUUGCGACAACUGUGGAAUUUAAUACAACUACAACAACAGUUAACAGUUCUACUGCAGAAGAAGUAACAAUGACAGUUGGACACAACAGAGAGUGCAGCUUACUCUUCAAUCGUCGCAGACACCAAAAAUGUCUACUGAAAAAGACAACCAAUUCAAUAAUAAAAAUUUGGGAGGGAUUAUUGCAGGCAGUGUAAUUGGCGCCAUUGUUUUCUUCAUACUCAUGGCGUUCGUAGUCGUAUGUUUGGUGAAGCGGAGAAAGAAGAGGAAAUACCCACAUACCCACAAGCGUAUGCCAACGAUCAGGCAGUUGAACACGUGAACCUCGCCUAUGGCAGCUACGGGGAAACCAAAGCUUAUGUAAAACAAGAUGGCGCUUCUCCUGGGGGUAACACUAAAACGCAGACUGUACUCGAAAACGGAACCCCUGAAAAACCAGUACAGAAAAACCAUGAUAAUGACUUUGUUGCCGGAUUGUAUGCAACAGUAAAUAAAAACAGAAUGCAUAAGGCGGAUACACUAUUUUAGCAUAGUGUCCUUUUUUGGUCUACGUUUCAGGAUUUUUUCAUC